UGCAAGUCGAACGAACGGACCGGAGCUUGCUCUGGCGAGUUAGUGGCGAACGGGUGAGUAACGCGUUGGUGACCUGCCCCGAAGAAAGGGAUAGCAACUGGAAACGGUUAUUAAUACCAUAUGUGGUUACGGUAGUUAGAGAACUGUAACUAAAGGAGAAAUCCGCUUCGGGAGGGGCCUGCGUCCCAUCAGCUAGUUGGUAAGGUAACGGCUUACCAAGGCGAUGACGGGUAGGGGACCUGAGAGGGUGACCCCCCACACUGGAACUGAAACACGGUCCAGACACCUACGGGUGGCAGCAGUAGGGAAUAUUGCUUAAUGGGCGAAAGCCUGAAGCAGCAACGCCGCGUGCACGAUGAAGGCCUUCGGGUUGUAAAGUGCUUUUUGAGGGGAUGAGGAAGGACAGUACCCUCAGAAUAAGCCUCGGCUAACUACGUGCCAGCAGCCGCGGUAAAACGUAGGAGGCGAGCGUUAUCCGGAUUUACUGGGCGUAAAGCGCGUGUAGGCGGUUGGGUAAGUUGGAUGUGAAAGCUCCUGGCUUAACUGGGAGAGGUCGUUCAAUACUGCCUGACUAGAGAAUGGGAGAGGGAGGUGGAAUUCCGGGUGUAGUGGUGAAAUGCGUAGAUAUCAGGAGGAACACCGGUGGCGAAGGCGGCUUCCUGGACCAAUACUGACGCUGAGGCGCGAAGGCGUGGGGAGCGAACAGGAUUAGAUACCCUGGUAGUCCACGCAGUAAACGUUGAUCACUAGGUGUAGCGGGUAUUGACCCCUGCUGUGCCGGAGUUAACGCAUUAAGUGAUCCGCCUGGGGAGUACGAUCGCAAGAUUAAAACUCAAAGGAAUUGACGGGGGCCCGCACAAGCGGUGGAGUAUGUGGUUUAAUUCGAUGCAACGCGAAGAACCUUACCAGGGCUUGACAUGUCCGGAAUCCCGGUGAAAGCUGGGAGUGCCUUCGGGAGCCGGAACACGGGUGGUGCAUGGCUGUCGUCAGCUCGUGUCGUGAGAUGUUGGGUUAAGUCCCGCAACGAGCGCAACCCUCGUCUUUAGUUGCCAGCAUUAAGUUGGGCACUCUAGAGAGACUGCCGGUGACAAACCGGAGGAAGGUGGGGAUGACGUCAAGUCAGCAUGCCCCUUACGCUCUGGGCGACACACGUACUACAAUGGUCGGGACAGAGGGCAGCGAACCUGCGAAGGCAAGCUAAUCCCAGCAAACUCGGCCUCAGUUCAGAUCGCAGGCUGCAACUCGCCUGCGUGAAGGAGGAAUCGCUAGUAAUCGCCGGUCAGAAUACGGCGGUGAUCCGUUCCCGGGCCUUGUACACACCGCCCGUCACACCAUGGAAGCUGGCCACGCCCGAAGUCGUUACCCUAAC
rnacentral:rRNA from 1 species